AGAGUUUGAUCCUGGCUCAGGAUGAAUGCUGGCGGCGUGCCUAAGGCAUGCAAGUCGAACGAAUCAUUGCAACAGGUGAUGGUUAGUGGCAAACGGGUGCGUAACACAUUGGUAUCUGCCUCGUAGUCGGGCAUAACGUUCCGAAAGGGACGCUAAUUCCACGAUGGUCUCGCAAGAGUAAAGUCGCAAGACGCUACGAGAGGAGCCUAUGGCCUAUCAGCUAGUUGGUGAGGUAAUGGCUCACCAAGGCUAUGACGGGUAGGGGGUGUGAGAGCACGACCCCCCUCACUGGGACUGAGACACUGCCCAGACACCUACGGGUGGCUGCAGUCUGGAAUAUUCGGCAAUGGGCGAAAGCCUGACCGAGCGACGCCGCGUGCAGGAAUAAGGGCUUCGGUCCGUAAACUGCUUUUGUCAGGGACGAAUCAUGACGGUACCUGAAGAAUAAGAGGUUGCUAACUCUGUGCCAGCAGCAGCGGUAAUACAGAGACCUCAAGCAUUAUCCGGAUUUAUUGGGCGUAAAGGGUCCGCAGGUGGCUUUUCACGUCGCUGGUUAAAUGUUGGGGCUCAACCCUAACACCGCCAACGAUACGGUUUAGCUCGAGCAUGGGAGAGGUACGCGGAAUUACUGGUGUAGUAGUAAAAUGCGUUAAUAUCAGUAAGAACACCAAAUGCGAAGGCAGCGUACUGGAACAUUGCUGACACUCAGGGACGAAAGCGUGGGGAGCGAAAGGGAUUAGAUACCCCUGUAGUCCACGCCCUAAACGAUGGAUGCUAGAUUUCGGGAGUAUCGACCCUCCCGGAGUCGGUUAAAAUAGCUAACGCAUUAAGCAUCCCGCCUGGGGAGUACGGUCGCAAGACUAAAACUCAAAGGAAUAGACGGGGGCCCGCACAAGCAGAGGAGCAUGUGGUUUAAUUCGACGGUAAGCGAGGAACCUCACCUAGGUUUGACAUACAGCUGCAAGCUGGUGGAAACAUCGGCCGCCUUCGAGGGUGCUGUACAGGUGCUGCAUGGUUGCCGUCAGCUCGUGUCGUGAGAUGUACCGUUAAGUCGGGUAACGAGCGCAACCC
rnacentral:rRNA from 1 species